CUCUUGUCAUUUCUCCUUUUAUACUUAUUUACACUACUCUUAUUUUCAUCUCUAUUUACGAUUCUCCGUGCUAUUUCAGUACCCAUCUACACAUUGUUUUGGUGCAGCUUGGUCUGUGAGGCCCUUGUAUCAUAAAACCGCAUACCAACCAAAAGCCUAGACCUGGGCGACCCGUUGUUUCGGAUGUGCAUAUAUUCAAUGGACAAACUAAAUGCUGCAUGUCCAUUUAGUUUGUCCGUAACUAAAUGGGCUGCUGAUCGUAUUAUAAAACUACCACAAUGGAAAAAGUCAUGGAUAAUGUUAGUGACUAUAUUGAGGGACUCUAAAAGUGAAUCUUGCUAUGCUUUUCCUGUGAUGAUCUGUACCAUUGUGAUCACUAUUAAAUUUCCCAUCUUUGUAUAUGAAAAUUGCCACAAUCAUC
rnacentral:lncRNA from 1 species